rnacentral:rRNA from 1 species
AGGACGAACGCUGGCGGCGUGCUUAACACAUGCAAGUCGAGCGGAAAGGCCCUUCGGGGUACUCGAGCGGCGAACGGGUGAGUAACACGUGAGUAACCUGCCCCUAGCUCUGGGAUAGCUCCGGGAAACCGGGAUUAAUACCAGAUACGACCACUUUAGACAUCUGUCGUGGUGGAAAGGAUUCCGGCUAGGGAUGGGCUCGCGGCCUAUCAGCUUGUUGGUGGGUAACGCCUACCAAGGCGACGAC